GACGAAUGCUGGCUGCGUGCUUAACACAUGCAAGUCGAACGGUGAAGGAGGGCUUGCCCUCCGGAUCAGUGGCGAACGGGUGAGUAACACGUGGGCAACCUGCCCCUCACUCUGGGAUAACGCCGGGAAACCGGCGCUAAUACCGGAUACGACCAGGCGCGACAUCUCGCCUGGUGGAAAGAAUUUCGGUGAGGGAUGGGCCCGCGGCCUAUCAGCUUGUUGGUGGGGUAACGGCCCACCAAGGCGACGACGGGUAGCCGGCCUGAGAGGGCGACCGGCCACACUGGGACUGAGACACGGCCCAGACUCCUACGGGAGGCAGCAGUGGGGAAUAUUGCGCAAUGGGCGAAAGCCUGACGCAGCGACGCAGCGUGAGGGACGAAGGCCUUCGGGUUGUAAACCUCUUUCAGCGGGGACGAAGCGAAAGUGACGGUACCCGCAGAAGAAGCACCGGCUAACUACGUGCCAGCAGCCGCGGUAAGAC
rnacentral:rRNA from 1 species